rnacentral:rRNA from 1 species
GACGAACGCUGGCGGCGUGCUUAACACAUGCAAGUCGAACGAUGAAGCGGCCAGCUUGCUGGUGGUGGAUUAGUGGCGAACGGGUGAGUAACACGUGAGUAACCUGUCCUUCACUCUGGGAUAAGCCCUGGAAACGGGGUCUAAUACUAGAUAUUCUCAAUGUGCCGCAUGGUGUGUUGUGGAAAGAUUUUUUGGUGAGGGUUGGACUCGCGGCCUAUCAGCUUGUUGGUGGGGUGAUGGCCUACCAAGGCGACGACGGAUAGCCGGCCUGAGAGGGUGAUCGGCCACACUGGGACUGAGACACGGCCCAGACUCCUACGGGAGGCAGCAGUGGGGAAUCUUGCGCAAUGGGCGAAAGCCUGACGCAGCAACGCCGCGUGAGGGAUGACGGCCUUCGGGUUGUAAACCCCUUUCGCGAUCGACGAAGGUCCUACUUGUGGAUGGGCUGACGGUAGGUCGAGAAGAAGCACCGGCCAACUACGUGCCAGCAGCCGCAGUAAUAC